GGUAUUUAAAAGGUAGAUUUUCCUUUUAUGAUUACGUGGUUGAUGGUUAGUCAUAGAGGAAAAUCCACGUUUUCAGUAUC
rnacentral:pre_miRNA from 3 species